rnacentral:rRNA from 1 species
AUUGAACGCUGGCGGCAGGCUUAACACAUGCAAGUCGAGCGGGGUGAUGGUGCUUGCACUAUCACUUAGCGGCGGACGGGUGAGUAAUGCUUAGGAAUCUGCCUAUUAGUGGGGGACAACAUCUCGAAAGGGAUGCUAAUACCGCAUACGUCCUACGGGAGAAAUCAGGGGAUCACUUGUGACCUUGCGCAUAUAGAUGAGACUAAGGCGGAUUAGCUAGUUGGUGGGGUAAAGGCCUACCAAGGCGACGAUCCGUAGCGGGUCGGAGAGGAUGAUCCGCCACACUGGGACUGAGACACGGCCCAGACUCCUACGGGAGGCAGCAGUGGGGAAUAUUGGACAAUGGGGGGAACCCUGAUCCAGCCAUGCCGCGUGUGUGAAGAAGGCCUUAUGGUUGUAAAGCACUUUAAGCGAGGAGGAGGCUCUUUUGGUUAAUACCCAAGAUGAGUGGACGUUACUCGCAGAAUAAGCACCGGCUAACUCUGUGCCAGCCGCCGCAGUAA